CCUACGGGAGGCAGCAGUGGGGAAUAUUGCACAAUGGGCGAAAGCCUGACGCAGCAACGCCGCGUGAGGGAUGAAGGCCUUCGGGUCGUAAAGCUCUGUCCUUAAGGAAGAUAAUGACGGUACUUGAGGAGGAAGCCCCGGCUAACUACGUGCCAGCAGCCGCGGUAAUACGUAGGGGGCUAGCGUUAUCCGGAAUUACUGGGCGUAAAGGGUGCGUAGGUGGUUUCUUAAGUCAGAGGUGAAAGGCUACGGCUCAACCGUAGUAAGCCUUUGAAACUGAGAAACUUGAGUGCAGGAGAGGAGAGUAGAAUUCCUAGUGUAGCGGUGAAAUGCGUAGAUAUUAGGAGGAAUACCAGUUGCGAAGGCGGCUCUCUGGACUGUAACUGACACUGAGGCACGAAAGCGUGGGGAGCAAACAGGAUUAGAUACCCCAGUAGUC
rnacentral:rRNA from 1 species